rnacentral:rRNA from 1 species
CCCUUAGAGUUUGAUCCUGGCUCAGGAUGAACGCUGGCGGCGUGCUUAACACAUGCAAGUCGAACGGUGAAGCAGAGCUUGCUCUGUGGAUCAGUGGCGAACGGGUGAGUAACACGUGAGCAACCUGCCCCUGACUCUGGGAUAAGCGCUGGAAACGGCGUCUAAUACUGGAUAUGAGCUGCGACCGCAUGGUCAGCAGUUGGAAAGAUUUUUCGGUCUGGGAUGGGCUCACGGCCUAUCAGCUUGUUGGUGAGGUAAUGGCUCACCAAGGCGUCGACGGGUAGCCGGCCUGAGAGG